UGAAGAAGCCCUCGGGUUGUAGAGCAAUUAAGUUGGGAGGUAAAGGUAGUUUUUACCCGGGUAUAUAAUGCGUUCACUCGAAAGAAUCACCGCCUAAUUUCGUGCCACCAGCCGCGGUAUUACGGAGGGGGCAAGCGUUAAUCGGAAUUUCUGGGCGUAAAGCGCCCGCAGGCGGUUUUUUAAUCUAGAUGUGAAAGCCCCGGGCUCACCCCGGGAUGGCAUUUAGAACUGGCAGCCUAGAGUUUUGAAGAGGGGAGUGGAAUUCCGGGUGUAGCGGUGAAAUGCGUAGAUAUUUGGAGGAACAUCAGUGGCGAAGGCGUCUCCCUGGCCCCAGACUCAGACUUAUGUGGGAAAUCGUGGGUGGCAAACAGGAUUAAAUACCCUGGUGGUCCACGCCGUUUUCAUCACCACCCAAAGUGCUUUGCAACCCUAAGGCCUGUGUCGCAGAUAACGNC
rnacentral:rRNA from 1 species